ensembl:lncRNA
ACUUCCGGUGCCCGAACUUCCUCGCGAGAGCACGGAGGCGAGGUUUCGAUCAGCCAGAGUCCCUUCAACAGUCUCCAAACCGGUGGUCCUCAGUCUUGCUUGCUCAGUAGAGGUUUUUUGUUUCUUUUGCUUUAAACACCGUGCCCAGGCAGCAAGCCAGACUGAUGAAAAGCGCUUCCCUGGUGGCUCAGACGGUAAAGAAUCCGCCUCCAAUGCGGGAGACCCGGGUUCGAUCCCUUGGUUGGGAAGAUCCCCUAGAAGAAGGCAUAGCAACCUACUCCAGUAUUCUUGCUGGGAAACCCCAUGGACAGAGGAGCCUUAGGGGCUACGCAAAGAGUCGGAAACGACUGAGCGACUAAGCACAGCACAGCACAGUACGGAAUGGGACCCAGGAUUUAUGGAACACUCAGAGUGCUGCCAAUUUGCAGCCUACGUAGGAGAGUUCUGCUUUAAAAUCUCCGACAUAGGCAAAUACCUUGAUUCUUUGUCCCAUUUAAGCUUCAUAACUACUGAUAUUAGUAGCCGCAUUGUAAUAAAUGAGGACCGUGGGCUCAGUCAGGAUUUGUCUCAUAGCUAUUGGAGCGUCUACUAUACGAAGGAAUCUGGGCUCCACAAGUGCAGGGGACAUGGGCUCAGCCUGGCCGGUUGUGUGAAUCAUUGUCCAUCUGAUGCCUCUUGUUACACAUCUAAACGUGUUAACUUGUUCAAAAGUUCCCAUAAGUUAUGGACCUGGUUAAAAUAAUGUGACUAUCAUCCUGUGAUUCUCCAUCUUAAAAUCUAUGGUAGAAAGCCAUCUACCUUUCACUUCCUUUGACUUGCUCAAACAAGAAAUGUGGGAAGAUCUUCAACUCUAAAUAAGCCCUAUCUUCCUGCCAUCUAUCUGGAUCUAGCCCCUGGGAAAAGAGAUGGGUCUUUUACCUUGCUUUUUCUGCAAACUAUUAAGCAUGGUCCCCAAAUUUGUCCAGAGGCAGUAUCCCAAGGUGAACUAAUAUAAAACUGUUGCAGUGCUCCUUUGGUGGUGCUGAGUGCAGUUGCAAAUGCUUCCAGAUCAUUGUCUGCCUGACCCCAACUUGAAAAGGACUGUGAACAAAGCUACACCCUCAGUGUUACAAGACAGAGGAGAGUAACUACCUACAUAUUAUGAAACCUUCACAGAUAAGUAUGAAUUUCCCCCAAGAUAAGUAUAACAACAUAGGAAAUAUCAUAGGUGUGAAGUUCCAGAUGUGGCCAUCUGGAAAUAAGAAAAAAUUUGGUUGUAAGUACAUUCAUCAAAUUGUUUACAAUAGUGAAAAAUGGAAACAGCUGCCCAACCACAGAAGACUGAUUAAAUACAAUAUAUCCAUACUUAAGAAUAAUACUGUCAUUAUAUAUAUAAACUGAUGUUCACAUCUUUAUGAGAGGAUUACAAAACUAUUUUUACAAUUCUAUUUUUUAAAAAUUUAAAGUGUCU